GAAUGUAUGGAGAGGCAGGACAAUCUGUUGUAACAAAGCCUCCCUCUUUCUUUCCAACUUUAAACCCACAAACCCACAGUGUUGAGACUGGUGAGGAAAAGAAGCAAAAUAACCUGAUGCUGCCUCCUUAGAUAUAGUCUGUCUCUGGGUUUUGACAUUGGAAAUGGGCAAGGUAUCUGGUGUGCCGGAGUUAAAACUGUGUCAGGCUGUAAAGAGUCCAGUAUAUUCAUUUUUGCUCAUAGCUGUUACUACUGGUAUUGCAGGCUUGCUAUUCUUUUUUCUUUUUUAAACAUGACCUGCUUUCAUAUGCAGUACCUCCUGUAUUGCAAAUUCUUACUUCCUUUGCCCUGAAGGGGACCACAGCUGGAAAUCCAGUGAAGGUGGGGGGAGGGCGAGUGGGCCCGCACUUUUAUUUUUUGACUCUGGCAAAAUAGCAAACUGGAAAAAAAAAAACCAGAAAAUUUAACCGAUGUGGCAAUUUUAAGAGGCGAGCAUAACUUCUCAAGGACCUUCUGCAAAGGCAUCCAAUCUGCGAGGGGCACCACUGAACUUCAGGGGCCCGCAGAGAGGAUGAAUCUGAAUGGCGCUGUGUGGAAAGAUCAGCACCGAAGUGUCUGUAGUCCUUCCCGGUCAGGACAUGGAUGCUGCUUGUGAAUUUAAAACCAAAGACAAUCAAGAUCUUGGAGAGAAAGAGAAGCAAAGAAUAAAUCAUCCAAUAAAUUCUUGCCAGAAAACCGCCUUUGAAGGAGUCAAGAGCAGGACAUUUGCCUGUAAAUAUAAGGUGAUCCUGGCUGCUUUUUCUAACUCUGUUUCCUGAGUUCUUCAGUUCUCUUCAAAACUCCAUUGAUUGACUGACUAUGCCUCCAACUCCUGGUUUUGAAAAGCCACUAAAACUUUAUUUAACCCAGAGGGAACAUAACAGAAGCAGAUGGUUACUGAAAUCUUAGAGGGAUUCCUAAUCUUAUGAAAGCCCAGCAGUGCUUCCCUAUCUGGUCACAGUCUAACUCCACAACUUGCUCAAGAGCUGACUGACCAUCCUUCAUAUUCAAAGCCCCUCCCCCUCAAAUUUCCAUAUGAGCAGACUGGGUGGAGCUUCCAUUCAGAAGUCCAGACCUCUGUGUGUCCAUGAAUCCAGUGGUAUAUGUUCUUUUUGGUCUUCGUCCGGUAACAUACCCAAUCAUACAAGUCAACUUAAGAACUCUUAUCCUAUAACAGCAUCUUGGACGUCUGACAAUUUCAAGUUAUCAUAGUUAAUUCUCCACACAUGCCCAAAUCCUUUACUUCAAAAUGACUGUAAUAGGGGGACACUUUAUGCUGUUGGAGAUACUGUCCUUUAGAUGAGAUGCAUAAAACAAAUAUCCUUUUCAGUUCUCAUCAUGAAAAAUCCUUGGCACUACUUGUCAGAGUAAGAUUAAAUUAUUAACAUAGUCUCCUGGGUCAGCCUAACUAUUCCCCUGUAGUUUGAAUAGGAUAUUGUAAUUAACUAUUAUAUUUUUCACGCUCUGUUCUAAACUACUGUUGUAAUGCUUCUGUGAGCUGUUAAACUGCAGCUCUAUUUGACCCUUGAUGCAGUAGCAUUUCAGUAGUGGAUUAAGUUUUAUCUAUGUAUAUCCUGUUUCUACUUAAGUGUGGUGUUUGAUUUUUAGGGCUUGUCUUCAUGGGGUUAUUCCGGAAUAGCUAUUCCUGAUUAACGAUUUCUAAUUAACUCCAUAUGUGAAUGCUCUUAUUUCAGAAUAAGAGUGCCGUAGUGCAUUAAGCUAAUUUUGAGUAAAGAACUCUUAUUCUGGAAUACCAGUGUUCACACAUGGAGUUAAUCAGGACUAGUUAACCGAUUUUUAAAUUUACACCCUACUUUAUUCCAGAUUAAUUUUCACAUGUAGACAAGCCCUUAAUUAGAAGAUGUUAAUAAAAUGCUCUGAGGUCUCUGAAAGAUGGCA
rnacentral:lncRNA from 1 species